UCUCAUCAUUGCUGUAGCUAUUGGCACCAUUGUAGUAGUAGUUGUUGUUCUGGUUCCCCAUGUUGGUGUAUCCACUUUCUUGAAGGCUUUUUUCACCGAAGUUUUGUUGCUGCUCCUGAUCAUAAGCAUUGUUGCUGUAGUAGUUGGUGUUUGUGUUGGUGGUUGUGUCAGUUGGAUAAUUGGUGUAGGUUUCUUGGUUUUGGGUUUGGGUCUUGUAUGGCUGGGAAUUAGUGGUAGUAGUGUAGGGUGCAUUAGCUAGUUUAGUGGUGGUGGGGAACUGGGUGGUUUCUUGACCAUAUAGACCAUAACCAUUUUGGUUGUCUGGGAUGAAGGCUGGAUCUUGUUCUUGCUUGCUCAACCCUUCUUCUUCUUCUUUGCCGGGGAGUGUUUUAUCUUGAGCGUUAUUGUUGCUGAUGGUGGUAGUGGAGGGGGUGGUGGUGGCGCCACUGACUUUGCUAAAGAACUGGCUCUCUCUGGCAUGAAUUUGCAC
rnacentral:lncRNA from 1 species